rnacentral:rRNA from 1 species
AAGACCUUGCGCUUUUGGAGCGGCCGAUGUCUGAUUAGCUUGUUGGUAGGGUAAAAGCUUACCAAGGCUUCGAUCAGUAGCUGGUCUGAGAGGACGGCCAGCCACACUGGGACUGAGACACGGCCCAGACUCCUACGGGAGGCAGCAGUGGGGAAUUUUGGACAAUGGGGGCAACCCUGAUCCAGCCAUGCCGCGUGAGUGAAGAAGGCCUUCGGGUUGUAAAGCUCUUUCAGCCGGAACGAAACGGMUACGGUUAAUACCCGUGACUACUGACGGUACCGGAAGAAGAAGCACCGGCUAACUACGUGCCAGCAGCCGCGGUAAUACGUAGGGUGCAAGCGUUAAUCGGAAUUACUGGGCGUAAAGCGUGCGCAGGUGGUUUUGUAAGUCAGAUGUGAAAUCCCCGGGCUUAACCUGGGAACU